GAUCUUCAGGAUGAGCAAGUUUCAAAAAUCGGCUGUCACUACACUGUCCUGUUUCCCAAAACAAGGGUCCUAUGGAAGGAGCAGACUUUUCUGAAGCUGAUGAGACAGGAAGUGAAAGCCUCACUGUGUUCAUCCAUUAAUGCUCAUCUGAAGAGGGAAGGGGCUGAAGAAAUGUGAGAUCCAACGUGGAGACAAUCAGCAGACAUAAAAUUGAGGACAUCAAGUUUAUCAGUCAACACUGAACCAAGAGGUCUCUCAGCCACAUUCCAGAUGGCCUCAUGCGAGUGUUGAGCAGAAAGACAAAAAACAUGAAAUGAGUUCAGAAGAACAUUGCACACCUCAAAAGAAGACAAGCCUGGAAAGUAAACCUCUGUUGUCUUACCUGAAAUGAAGAAAACAAGCUAGCUUAAAAUUACUCAUGCCACCCUAAGGCAAACAGAAGACGAUGGAGACAGAGAAGACCAUGGAGA
rnacentral:lncRNA from 1 species